rnacentral:rRNA from 1 species
GACGAACGCUGGCGGCGUGCUUAACACGUGCAAGUCGUACGGUAAGGCCCUUUCGGGGGUACACGAGUGGCGAACGGGUGAGUAACACGUGAGUAACCUGCCCACAACUUUGGGAUAACGCUAGGAAACUGGUGCUAAUACUGGAUAUGUGCUCCUACUGCAUGGUGGGGGUUGGAAAGCUCCGGCGGUUGUGGAUGGACUCGCGGCCUAUCAGCUUGUUGGUGGGGUAGUGGCCUACCAAGGCGGCGACGGGUAGCCGGCCUGAGAGGGUGACCGGCCACAUUGGGACUGAGAUACGGCCCAGACUCCUACGGGAGGCAGCAGUGGGGAAUAUUGCACAAUGGGCGCAAGCCUGAUGCAGCAACGCCGCGUGCGGGAUGACGGCCUUCGGGUUGUAAACCGCUUUCAGCAGGGACGAAGCUUUUUGUGACGGUACCUGCAGAAGAAGCACCGGCUAACUACGUG